CAUUCUCUCGGCGACCGCGCGCGAGCAUCGUUACUCGCGCACGGUGGUGGAAAUCGCAACGGAACUUCAGUGCAGCUGCAGCGAGCAGCUGACGCGGAAUCAUUCAGAUCCGCAGUAGAGCUCGCGCAGCGUAUGCGAACACUACGCGAUACGAUACGAGGCCAGACGAGACGAGACGAGACGAGACAAGACAAGACAAGAUACGACACGCAGUGCCAUCGGAUACACGCGCCUCAGUGUUGGACCAGCUCCGGCGAGAUUCGCCCGCGCGUGUCUCCGUAUCUCGUGCCGCAAAUGAACUCGCGUCGCGGGUGCGCGCGCGAGGGAGACUCUUCUGCUGCCGGUUCUUCUGUUGUGACUGCAUCUCGUUAUCAAUCGCGAACAGUGCGGUGUAUCGUCAAAAUCGUCGUCGCCGUCUCGAGGGUUCGCGACGAGGUGCAUCUCUGGCUGCAACGUCGGCGAACGAGCCGAGACGGCUGCUGAGAAAGGCGCCUGUAAAAGGCCGACGAAGGAAUACUCGCAGCAAAUUAUUGCGGCAGAGAUCAGAUGCAUCUAAACAUGGAGUUGACACGGUUACUUUCGAUACCGCUGACUUUGGCUUUGGCCCUGGCCUUCCUCCUCUCGGUGGCGCGUCUUUGCGACGCCACCUCGGAAAGUAUAAUAGGAAGCCGAGAGACCUGCGACACUGAGGGAGAAGACGUUACAGUCAAGAUUGUGAACACAAAAUGCUUCCGCUGCAUUUGUAAGAACGGAUUCGUCGAGUGUUUGAAACGACAAUGCCCGAACGUCGAAGGUUGCUACGCGUUGCUGGAGCCGCGAGACGACGAGUGUUGCUACAAGUGUACAGGAUGCAUACACAACGGCACUUAUCACGCAUCUGAGACGGAAUGGACGGAGACGGACCCGUGCCUCAUAUUUACCUGCAAAGCGGGCAUCAUCACCAGAGCAAAGCUAGAGUGUUACACGCCCUGCUCCAAUCCGAAACCGGCCCCACGUGGUCAAUGCUGCCCGACAUGCGACGGAUGCUUAGUGAACGGGCAGAAAGUCACCGCGGAUAGGUCGGUGACAACUGAGGACCCUUGCGUAACCUGUAGAUGCAACAACAAUAAGCUCAUAUGUGCAAAGUUAGCCUGUCCGAUACUCAGUUGUCCUGUCUCGAGGAUUGUUCACGAUCCUGGCAAGUGUUGUCCACGCUGUCGAGGCAGCGCAAGAUUCUUCCUACCUCCGAAAGGCGCGUGUAUGAUUGACAUGCGCGUAAUCGACUCGGGCUCCUUUCAUAAGGUGGAUGUAUGCACGUGGUGCAACUGCACCAAUUCGAUGCUCUCGUGUGAAAGGCAUACCUGUCCGGUACUGGAAUGUCCCAGCGAGCCCUCUCAGAACCCUAUGACCCGUCACUGUUGCCCGAAAUGUCCAACCGUUCUGGAGAGCAGGGCCUCCUGCUCUUAUGGCGGAAGAACUUAUCAGGAUGGCGAAAAUUGGAAUCUUGAUUCUUGCAAGACGUGCACCUGCAAACAGGGCAAGGUACGCUGUGCAAUGCCUAUGUGUCCGCAGUUGAAUCUUCCUUGCCCACCAAACUCAAAAUUAGAACAUCCGGAAGGUCAAUGCUGUCCUCGAUGCGUUGAAAGUGAUGGGAUUUGUACGGUUUUUGGAGACCCGCACUAUCGCACGUUUGACGGUAAAUUUUACAGCUUCAAGGGGGCAUGCAAAUAUCAAUUGGUCACUGAUUGUGUCUCUCGCACAUUUAGCAUACGUGUAACUAACGACGCAAGAAGAACAAAAUCUUCAGCAUGGACCAAAACCAUCGCUUUAAAAAUCGGUGACUUGAAAGUAAACCUUGGUCAAAAAAUGAGGGUGAAGGUAAACGGCAAGAAAGUGAACCUUCCUUAUCAUAUCACUAACCGAUUGGAUAUUAACUGUACGACUGACAGCGUGAUUGUCAACACGCACAUCGGGAUCAAGGUUCUCUGGGAUGGUAUCAGCUUUCUCGAAGUGUCCGUGCCUUCGUCGUACAGAGGUCGAUUAUGCGGUCUCUGCGGUAACUUCAAUUCCCAGACCAAGGACGAUUUCACGACGCGACGCGGCCGAUUGCUGCAGGAUGCGCAGAAAUUUGGUCAAUCUUGGGUCGUGAGCGCCAAAAAAACAUGCACUCGAUCUCCAAGAUUAGGAAAUGUUGAAAAGGAAGAACGUUGUCGAGGAAGAAAUCACCGACUGUGCAAUCGACUGAAAUCGCAAAUCUUCGACCCCUGUCACAAGAAGGUGAAUCCGAUGAUGUUCUUCAAAGCCUGCAUUCAGGACAUGUGCGAAUGCCCAACCCAGCAUUGUUACUGCCAGUCUUUCAUGGCAUACGCGCACGAGUGUAAGCGACUCGGAAUCCAGCUACCUCACUGGAGGAAGGCUACGAGGUGUCGAACAAUUUGGGACCAGUUGACGAAUUCGGCGAAUUCCACUUGCCACGGAUUUAAUUAAUCGCGCACUUUAUUCACCGCCGCGUCCGGCCUCUAAAAAUUCUAAUUCGCGAGAUAUGCAGUGAAACUCAUGUGAGCGAUAAACUCUUCGUUGCAACAUUUUGUACGCAUGUAAAGAGACUCUAUACGCAAUCCCAACCUCUUCUUAUCUUUUUUUUCAAGAUAACGUUUCAGUAUUCGUGACUAUAUCACGAAUAAUAAAGAAGAAGAGAUAUAAUGUUGUGAAAUAAUUAGCGCGUGAUAUAUAUAUAUAUCUAAAAAUCGUGCAAUAAUUAAAAAAAAAUAUUCUCAGGAAUUCUCGGAAUCGAUUUUCAAAAUAGUAUUUUUGUUUAAAAUCGUAUUUUCCAUUAAAUGAGAUAAAAUUUUCGAUAUUUAAAUACUUGAUAAGAGCUAAUAUAAGUAAUACCGGGAACAAAGCAUACUUCUUAGCAGUCUCUGACAGAUAUCGCAAUGGAUUAAUUCGGGAUAAAUAUUCAUAAACGCUUAUUUAUUCAUAGAGCAACAUAAUAUGCACGCAGUACUUAUAAGUCUGUCAUCUAUAAUGAAAAACGAUGAUAGACUUAUAAGUACCGCAUGAAUAUUAUGUUAAUGCGAUAAAAAAAUAUUUUGCUGUCUAUAUCACGCGAAAUACAAUAUAGAGGAAUAUAAAUGGCUGAAACGCCAUCUCAGAAUAAUCGCGGUUAUUACAAAUUAUUGUAAUAUGAUGUAAAAUUGUUCUUUUUAUCUCGUUUUAAGCUUUCUCUUCAAUAUUUUUCGCGAUAUUAUCUCUUCUUCUAUCUCUGGGAAACUCUUGUUGGCGGGAACAUACAGACCGGACGCGGCCGAGUGCUCGGCAAAAACCUACUAGUCACCACUUCGUAUCAAUAUGCAUUAAGUCAAACUCUGACUCGAGUGUCUCUAGUAACGAUCGUCUAUCGAGGUGAAGCGAUAGCGAUUUCUCGUUCGUUCGCACGGAAAUCUCAUGCGGGUCACAGCAGCCAUGACGCCUGGAAAUAUGGAUCUCACGUGUGUAUAUCACGAUUUCACGCGGAAUCCCAUAAAUCCGACAGAGAGCAUCGCGAAUCAACUAGCAGAGUCGCGCAUAGAAUGGAAAAUGGAUGAUCUUGUGUCGCGAAAUCAAACGAAAGUAAAAAAAAAAUUCAUAUUUUACAUUGAAUACUGAAUUAAUACUUGGCGUAUUUUUCUGAAUCUUAUAUAGGUAUAAGCUAGUGUAUCAUAAAUUGAGAAUGGCACAUUUAAUCCUAGAUCGUCUCUAGCGUGAGAUAUUGAAUUAUUAUUGCGAACAAAAUUAAUGUGACAUGUUAUAUAAUUGAUAAAACGUAUUAUAAGUAUUGUUAAUUAUAUUAUAAUUUGAUAAUUCUCUCAUCGGCUUUAGAAAGAUGGAAAUUUUUACUUUUAAUAAUUGUGUGAAAGCUUAUGAAUUUUACAUAUACUUCAUUGAAACAUAUAUACGGUCACUUAAUUAAACGUAUCUUCAAGAAUAAAAUCCUAUUGAGCAAUAGACGUAUAUUAAUGAAACGAGAUCAGUACGCUCGAAAUUGUGAGAACGACUUUGUAAGCAGCAAGUAGCGAUGCCUUGUAAUGUUUCGGAGCACCGUGCAGUAUUUCGGCCGAUGAGCAGGCUCGCGGCAUAGCAUGUACAUCCCAAUUUAACACAAUCGAUUAAUUAUAUAUAUACAUAAUUAUAUAAUACACGUACAGAUAUAUAGAUAUGUAUAGACUCCACGCGGAUCCUUAGAAUCCAUAGAACGAAUCGCGCAUUCAUAUAUCCGUAGCCCCGCAUACUUUUCAUAGGCUCUCGGAUUCUCAAAAUCCAUGUUUCGAUAAGUCACAGAACCCACAGAUUCGUGCUUUUAUAAGUUAUUAUUCUCUCGAGAUUUUUUAAAUUAAUCUAUAAAUUCUUCGCUUUACAAAUCCAUGCUUUUACGGGUCUUUCAAUCUGCAAAUUUAUGAUCGCACGAAUAUUUGGAAUCUGUAAUUCAUGAUAAGGAAUUCUUAGAAUCCAUAUAGAUUUCUACUUCCACAGAUCUUUAGAUGUAUAGAGAUCUGCGGUUUGUUAGACUCUUACAUUUUCAUUAUGUAGAAUUAGGAGGGGACAUUUUCCCGCUUCGUCUUCGACGACGAGUAUACUUUUUUUACCUUCUAUAUGUAUUUACAUAACGUGUAGAAAUUUAUGUUAACUUUAGCGAGACGUUUACAAAUUGUACAUAGAAAGACACGAUUAUUAAACGAAUACUAAUCACGA